AAUUUAUAGGUUANAGUCCUUUAUGUCUUA
rnacentral:tRNA from 1 species